rnacentral:rRNA from 1 species
UGGGGAAUAUUGGACAAUGGGCGCAAGCCUGAUCCAGCCAUGCCGCGUGAGUGAUGAAGGCCUUAGGGUUGUAAAGCUCUUUUACCCGGGAAGAUAAUGACUGUACCGGGAGAAUAAGCCCCGGCUAACUUCGUGCCAGCAGCCGCGGUAAUACGAAGGGGGCUAGCGUUGUUCGGAUUUACUGGGCGUAAAGCGCACGUAGGCGGAUCUUUAAGUCAGAGGUGAAAUCCCAAGGCUCAACCUUGGAACU